AAAUAGAACUUUGCAGAGAGAGUUAACAGGGCGUGAAACCGUUAAUUGGCAAACGAAUCGGAGCCACGAAGUCGUUUCGCUAAUAGUUGGGUCAGGUUCAGUUUGAAAACCACAAAGUUUUCAGGCGUAUUCUUGUGCCCAACCAUUCUUGUAAGCGUACACUGCAACCAGUUAGACAAUUGGUGAUGGAACCAGUUGGAUUGGCUCUCGGGCCAUUUCAACGAAGUAUUUGUUUACCUAGAUUAGUAGUAGUGUGGCGUCUUUCGGGACGUUCAUAUUGCUGGGUCUAUGGUAAGUGAACUAUUACCAAAUACUGACUGGCAAACUGAAAAUCACUCUCUGAGUGUUUAAUAAAAAGUGGCUAGCUGUACUAUUAUCUACAUGUUUGACCAUUGGGUUUUAAGCUCAACAUCUUUGAAUUUAGACUUGCUAGCUAUCAAUGGGGCAACUCUUGGUGCUGGUAUAGCUUCUAUCUAAUCGGGUGUUGACUUGAUCUGAUGCGUUCGGAUAUGCGACGAUAGGAUGAAAGUACAAGUUGGUUUACAAUUAUUGGCAGUGAGUAGGUCGGCUUUCCGAACGACCCGUCUUGAAACACGGACCAAGGAGUCUAAUUAGGCAUCGAGUCGAUCGGUCUUGAAUAGGCCAGACUAGUUGGAAGUCAAACUCCAACUGAAUGAAGGCGUAGAGAAAUCAAAUCAUGUGAUCAUUGAGAUAAUACCAAUCUCUGUGCGCAACAUGUGCCUGUUCGUAUAGUAAUGUCGCAAGACUUACUGAGCGGAGUAAAGAGAUGCUUGAUUGGUACC
rnacentral:rRNA from 1 species